rnacentral:rRNA from 1 species
GACGAACGCUGGCGGCGUGCUUAACACAUGCAAGUCGAACGGGCCUUGUCCCCUUUUUUUUGGGGGUGGGGUUAGUGGCGAACGGGUGAGUAACACGUGAGUAACCUGCCCCUCACUUCUGGAUAACCGCUUGAAAGGGUGGCUAAUACGGGGUGUUCUGGCCUGCUCGCAUGGGUGGGUUUGGAAAGAUUCGACCGGUUUUGGUUGUUUUGGUGGGGAUGGGCUCGCGGCCUAUCAGCUUGUUGGUGGGGUGAUGGCCUGCCAAGGCUUUGACGGGUAGCCGGCCUGGGAGGGUGGGCGGUCACACUGGGACUGAGACACGGCCCAGACUCCUACGGGAGGCAGCAGUGGGGAAUAUUGCACAAUGGGCGCAAGCCUGAUGCAGCGACGCCGCGUGAGGGAUGGAGGCCUUCGGGUUGUGGACCUCUUUCGCCAGUGAAGAAGGUCCUGCUCUUUGUGGUGGGGUUGACGGUAGCUGGGUUAAUGAAGCGCCGGCUAACUACGUG